ACGUAGGGUGCAAGCGUUGUCCGGAAUUACUGGGUGUAAAGGGAGCGCAGGCGGACCGGCAAGUUGGAAGUGAAAACUAUGGGCUCAACCCAUAAAUUGCUUUCAAAACUGCUGGCCUUGAGUAGUGCAAAGGUAGGUGGAAUUCCCGGUGUAGCGGUGGAAUGCGUAGAUAUCGGGAGGAACACCAGUGGCGAAGGCGACCUACUGGGCACCAACUGACGCUGAGGCUCGAAAGCAUGGGUAGCAAACAG
rnacentral:rRNA from 1 species